rnacentral:rRNA from 1 species
GAUGAACGCUGGCGGCGUGCCUAAUACAUGCGAGUCGAGCGAACAGACGAGGAGCUUGCUCCUCUGACGUUAGCGGCGGACGGGUGAGUAACACGUGGAUAACCUACCUAUAAGACUGGGAUAACUUCGGGAAACCGGAGCUAAUACCGGAUAAUAUAUUGAACCGCAUGGUUCAAUAGUGAAAGACGGUUUUGCUGUCACUUAUAGAUGGAUCCGCGCCGCAUUAGCUAGUUGGUAAGGUAACGGCUUACCAAGGCAACGAUGCGUAGCCGACCUGAGAGGGUGAUCGGCCACACUGGAACUGAGACACGGUCCAGACUCCUACGGGAGGCAGCAGUAGGGAAUCCUCCGCAAUGGGCGAAAGCCUGACGGAGCAACGCCGCGUGAGUGAUGAAGGUCUUCGGAUCGUAAAACUCUGUUAUUAGGGAAGAACAAAUGUGUAAGUAACUAUGCACGUCUUGACGGUACCUAAUCAGAAAGCCACGGCUAACUACGUG